UUAUUCAUACUCCUCAUGUCCGCUCCCAAAAUAUUGUGUUUCCAAAACAAAUAAAUUAUAUAAUCACCAAUGAAUGAAUCUUGGGUAUAUAUUUUCUCACGGAUCCAGGCAUCACCAGCGCCUCUUUGCCGGGCGAUGGAGAUCACGCUCUCUUAAGAUGUCUUGGCAUGUUGGUGCAUUGGUCCUUCAUUGGUCUAUAACUUUGACUGAAGAUAUAAUUAUCAUUGAAAGCGUCCUCUAAUCAACUCUAUACAGCCUACUUCAGAACACGGAGAAAGUCUGUGAGCUGCAUCUAACUUCAUACAAUGGUGUAGUUGAUAGCCUUGUCGAAACCCAUCAAAAUGCAGUC
rnacentral:sRNA from 1 species